GAGUUUGAUCAUGGCUCAGAUUGAACGCUGGCGGUAGGCUUAACACAUGCAAGUCGAACGUGAAAGCUCUUCGGAGUGAGUAGAGUGGCGGACGGGUGAGUAACGCGUAGGAAUCUACCUAGUAGUGGGGGACAACAUGGUGAAAACCAUGCUAAUACCGCAUACGCCCUAAGGGGGAAAGCGUGGGAUCUUCGGACCACGUGCUAUUAGAUGAGCCUGCGUAAGAUUAGCUUGUUGGUGAGGUAAAGGCUCACCAAGGCGACGAUCUUUAGCUGGUCUGAGAGGAUGAUCAGCCACACUGGGACUGAGACACGGCCCAGACUCCUACGGGAGGCAGCAGUGGGGAAUAUUGCGCAAUGGGCGAAAGCCUGACGCAGUCAUACCGCGUGUGUGAAGAAGGCCUUAGGGUUGUAAAGCACUUUCAGCGAGGAGGAAAAG
rnacentral:rRNA from 1 species